UCAACCUGGUUGAUCCUGCCAGUAGUGAUAUGCUUGUCUCAAAGAUUAAGCCAUGCAUGUCUGAGUACAGACCGAUCUAAGGUAAACCGCGAAUGGCUCAUUAAAUCAGUCAUAAUUCCUUGGAUAGUGAAAAACUUCCUCGGAUAACUGUGGAAAAUCCAGAGCUAAUACGUGCAACUGAGCUCCGACCUCGGCGCGAGCCUUGGGAAGAGCGCAUUUAUUAGAUUCAAAACUGACCGUCGUACUCCUUCGGGAUUCGACGUUUGUCUCAAGUUUGAUGACUCCGGAUAACUUAGCCGAGCGCUACGGUCUUAGUACCGGCGCCGUAUCUUUCAAGUGUCUGCCUUAUCAGCUUUCGAUUGUAGUUUAAACGCCUACAAUGGCUGUAACGGGUAACGGGGAAUCAGGGUUCGAUUCCGGAGAGGGAGCCUGAGAAACGGCUACCACAUCUAGGAAGGCAGCAGGCACGCAAAUUACCCACUCCCAGCCCGGGGAGGUAGUGACGAAAAAUAACGAUGCGAGACUCUUCCGAGGCCUCGCAAUCGGAAUGAGUCCAUUUUAAAUCCUUGGACGAGGAUCCAUUGGAGGGCAAGUCUGGUGCCAGCAGCCGCGGUAAUUCCAGCUCCAAUAGCGUAUAUUAAAGUUGCUGCGGUUAAAAAGCUCGUAGUUGGACUUCCUAGAUCCAUUUCGCGAACGAGUCGCUCGUUGAGCUAGCGUUUCGCGUCAGUCGUUGGAAGAAGGCCCGUGCUGUCGUCGCGUUGUCAUUUGCGAGGUCGUUCGUCGUGCGUUUCCUUCGCGGGAUUCGUGCUUCGUUCGUAUCGAGUUUUUGCUUCGCGUGCGUCGUCGAGUUCUAGACUCCUUCGGACGGCGAAGCGUUGUCUUCGAGUAUUGCUCGUCCGCGUUUGGUACAAUUAAAAUUUUGUCGGCUCGCUCGGAGUGCUCUUUACCGAGUGUUCCAGGGUGGCCGACACGUUCACUUUGAAAAAAUUAGAGUGCUUAAAGCGGGCUUAUACGUGGCCUGAAUGUCUGUGCAUGGAAUGAAGUAACAGGACCUCGAUUCUGUUUUUUUUGUCGGUUUUAUUGAACCGAGGUAAUGAUUAAAAGGGACAGACGGUGGCAUUAGUAUUGCGACGCUAGAGGUGAAAUUCUUGGACCGUCGCAAGACUAACUACUGCGAAAGCAUUUGCCGAGAAUGUUUUCAUUAAUCAAGAACGAAAGUUAGAGGAUCGAAGGCGAUCAGAUACCGCCCUAGUUCUAACCCUAAACUAUGCUAACUAGCGAUCCGCCGGAGUCAUUCCCACGACCCGGCGGGAAGCCCCAGGGAAACCAAAGUCUUUGAGUUCCGGGGGAAGUAUGGUUGCAAAGCUGAAACUUAAAGGAAUUGACGGAAGGGCACCACCAGGAGUGGAGCCUGCGGCUUAAUUUGACUCAACACGGGAAACCUCACCAGGCCCGGACAUCAUAAGGAUUGACAGGUUGAGAGCUCUUUCUCGAUUUGAUGGGUGGUGGUGCAUGGCCGUUCUUAGUUGGUGGAGUGAUCUGUCUGGUUGAUUCCGAUAACGAACGAGACUCUACCCUACUAACUAGUCGGCGGAUCGUAACCCUGAGAUGGUUAGUUUGUGGAAGGGCGGUUUGUCGAGGCGUUUGUCCGCGUCCUCUUCUUUCUCCGCGGAUCGUCGUUUUCCUUCGGGGGAGCGGCAGUCUCGUGUGAGGUUGAGGUGCGUUUGGGCUUCGUCGAAGCUUCCGUUCGACUACUGCUACACUGCUGGGGGCGUCCGUCGCAAUGUAUCUUCUUAGAGGGAUCAGCGGCGUAUAGCCGCACGAGAAAGAGCAAUAACAGGUCUGUGAUGCCCUUAGAUGUUCUGGGCCGCACGCGCGCUACAAUGUAGAGACCAGCGUGCUUUCCCUCUCCGAAAGGAGCGGGUAACCCGUUGAAACCCCUACCCGAUUGGGAUUGGGGAUUGCAAAUAUUUCCCAUAAACGAGGAAUUCCCAGUAAGCGCGAAUCAUUAAUUCGCGCUGAUUACGUCCCUGCCCUUUGUACACACCGCCCGUCGCUACUACCGAUUGAAUGAUUCAGUGAGGGCAUCGGACUGGCGCCUUCGGUUUAGUAACAUAGACCUUAGGCUGACGGAAAGAUGUCCGAACUUGAUCAUUUAGAGGAAGUAAAAGUCGUAACAAGGUUUCCGUAGGUGAACCUGCGGAAGGAUCAA
rnacentral:rRNA from 1 species